AGAGUUUGAUCCUGGCUCAGGAUGAACGCUAGCUACAGGCUUAACACAUGCAAGUCGAGGGGCAUCAGGAAGAAAGCUUGCUUUCUUUGCUGGCGACCGGCGCACGGGUGAGUAACACGUAUCCAACCUGCCCUUUACUCGGGGAUAGCCUUUCGAAAGAAAGAUUAAUACCCGAUAGCAUAAUGAUUCCGCAUGGUUUCAUUAUUAAAGGAUUCCGGUAAAGGAUGGGGAUGCGUUCCAUUAGGUUGUUGGUGGGGUAACGGCUCACCAAGCCUUCGAUGGAUAGGGGUUCUGAGAGGAAGGUCCCCCACAUUGGAACUGAGACACGGUCCAAACUCCUACGGGAGGCAGCAGUGAGGAAUAUUGGUCAAUGGGCGCUAGCCUGAACCAGCCAAGUAGCGUGAAGGAUGAAGGCUCUAUGGGUCGUAAACUUCUUUUAUAUAAGAAUAAAGUGCAGUAUGUAUACUGUUUUGUAUGUAUUAUAUGAAUAAGGAUCGGCUAACUCCGUGCCAGCAGCCGCGGUAAUACGGAGGAUCCGAGCGUUAUCCGGAUUUAUUGGGUUUAAAGGGAGCGUAGGUGGACUGGUAAGUCAGUUGUGAAAGUUUGCGGCUCAACCGUAAAAUUGCAGUUGAUACUGUCAGUCUUGAGUACAGUAGAGGUGGGCGGAAUUCGUGGUGUAGCGGUGAAAUGCUUAGAUAUCACGAAGAACUCCGAUUGCGAAGGCAGCUCACUGGACUGCAACUGACACUGAUGCUCGAAAGUGUGGGUAUCAAACAGGAUUAGAUACCCUGGUAGUCCACACAGUAAACGAUGAAUACUCGCUGUUUGCGAUAUACAGUAAGCGGCCAAGCGAAAGCAUUAAGUAUUCCACCUGGGGAGUACGCCGGCAACGGUGAAACUCAAAGGAAUUGACGGGGGCCCGCACAAGCGGAGGAACAUGUGGUUUAAUUCGAUGAUACGCGAGGAACCUUACCCGGGCUUAAAUUGCAGUGGAAUGAUGUGGAAACAUGUCAGUGAGCAAUCACCGCUGUGAAGGUGCUGCAUGGUUGUCGUCAGCUCGUGCCGUGAGGUGUCGGCUUAAGUGCCAUAACGAGCGCAACCCUUAUCUUUAGUUACUAACAGGUUAUGCUGAGGACUCUAGAGAGACUGCCGUCGUAAGAUGUGAGGAAGGUGGGGAUGACGUCAAAUCAGCACGGCCCUUACGUCCGGGGCUACACACGUGUUACAAUGGGGGGUACAGAAGGCAGCUAGCGGGUGACCGUAUGCUAAUCCCAAAAGCCUCUCUCAGUUCGGAUCGAAGUCUGCAACCCGACUUCGUGAAGCUGGAUUCGCUAGUAAUCGCGCAUCAGCCACGGCGCGGUGAAUACGUUCCCGGGCCUUGUACACACCGCCCGUCAAGCCAUGGGAGCCGGGGGUACCUGAAGUACGUAACCGCAAGGAUCGUCCUAGGGUAAAACUGGUGACUGGGGCUAAGUCGUAACAAGGUAGCCGUACCGGAAGGUGCGGCUG
rnacentral:rRNA from 1 species